rnacentral:rRNA from 1 species
AACGAACGCUAGCGGCAUGCCUCAAACAUGCAAGUCGAACGAGAACGGGACUUCGGUCCCUAGUAAAGUGGCGCACGGGUGAGUAACACGUAGCUAACCUACCCUUUCGCUGGGGAUAACUCCGGGAAACCGGAGCUAAUACCGAAUAAUCUGACACGGCCUGCGGGCUGUAUCGGUAAAGCCUUCGGCGCGAGAGGAUGGGGCUGCGGUCCAUUAGCUAGUUGGCGGGGUAAUGGCCCACCAAGGCGACGAUGGAUAGCUGGUCUGAGAGGAUGAUCAGCCACACUGGAACUGACACACGGUCCAGACUCCCGACGGGAGGCAGCAGUUGGGAAUAUUGGAACAAGUCGGGGGAAACCCUGAUCCAGCAAUGCCGCGUGAGUGAU